CCUACGGGUGGCUGCAGUGGGGAAUAUUGCACAAUGGGGGAAACCCUGAUGCAGCGACGCAGCGUGAGUGCAGAAGUAUUUCGGUAUGUAACGCUCUAUCCGCAGGGAAGACAAUGACGGUACCUGAUUAAGCAGCCCCGGCUAACUACGUGCCAGCAGCCGCGGUCAUACGUAGGGGGCCAGUGUUAUCCGGAUUGAAUGGGUGGAAAGGGAGCGUAGACGGCAGCACAAGUCUGGAGUGAAAUGCCGGGGCUUAACCCCGGAACGGCUUUGGAAACUGUGCAGCUAGAGUGCAGGAGAGGUAAGUGGAAUUCCUAGGGUAGCGGUGAAAUGCGUAGAUAUUAGGAGGAACACCAGUGGCGAAGGCGGCUUACUGGACUGUAACUGACGUUGAGGCUCGAAAGCGUGGGGAGCAAACAGGAUUAGAUACCCGGGUAGGC
rnacentral:rRNA from 1 species